CCAAACACAAACACUAAACACUAAACAGACGUGUUUUCGAGAACCCCUCCCCUUUGGCUUCUUCUCCGACGAUUGCGCUUCUCGUGGAUUCCAUUCCGCUGCCGCCCUCCGGUCGAUGCGCCUCCGCCUUGCCGUCGCCACCCCUCGUCUCAACGCCGGAACCCUAGCCACCGCCGAAUCAAUCGAUCGUCGCCGUCCAGGUUUCCAUCUCUCGUCUCAACACCGAAACCCUAGCCGCCGCCGAUUCCUAUUGUUUUAGUGGGAAAACGCUGGAGUUGUCGAUUUCGAUUUUUCCUCGGAGUCGGGAGAAAUUCUGCCGCGACUUCUCGCACGCGCGUUUACACGACGGCUUGAUCUAGGGUCUUUAAAUUCGUCGGCAGGCAUCGGAGCUCUUCUCGUUCUUGGCUUCGGCGAAGCGGUUCUGGGUGACGGGGAGAGGGAAGAUUGUGCUAAGGAGAAGAACACCAAAAAGAAGUUGCGGUUGUCGAAGUUGGAUUAAGAUGCCGAUGCCCUGCCUGGUGCUAUUUUGAAGAAGACUCUAACUGUUUGUACUAUGGUUAAAUUCUUCAACAGGGUCUUUCUUUCUUCUACUAGGUUCAGAUCCCUACUAAAAAGUUUUAUAUUUUUGAGUUAUCAAGAUAUUUGCAAACUCCAAGGAAGAGGUACUCUAGCUCCUAGACAUGCUUGAUUGGAAAUAAGGGACCGGUGCAUUGAAAGCAGAAUAGCAGCUGUAACUUGUUCAUUAAUAUGUAUUUCUCUGUAUGUCAGCUAUUCUUUAACGGCUGCAACUGGUACUGAGUAUGAGGAAUAUCUAUGGGAUUUGCCUUCUGUCAAUACUACAAUUAGCCGGACUGAUGUGGAGUUCAUGUCAGCUGUUGUACAUAGUCUCUGUCCAAUUUCAAUAAAAAUGUGCAUUCGUCAAUGUCAAGUCCGAAUUUUGUUGCUUCUUUACUAUUUGGUCUGGCACUGAAAAAGCCAGAGAUGGUACAAUGAUGGCUUAACUAGCCAUUUCAAUUGUUGCAGGAUAUUGCAUGCUUUUGACAUUGGAUUGAAUUGAUCUUGGUUAGAGUUCCUUUACUGAUA